rnacentral:rRNA from 1 species
CGCGUAGGCGGUCAUGCAAGUCUGUUGUGGAAGGCUGGGGCUCAACCCCAGGACUGCGAUGGAAACUGCAUGACUUGAGUGAGUGAGGGGAGGGCGGAAUUCCCGGUGUAGCGGUGAAAUGCGUAGAUAUCGGGAGGAAGGCCGGUGGCGAAGGCGGCCCUCUGGCACUCAACUGACGCUGAGGCGCGAAAGCGUGGGGAGCAAACA